GAAGGUAUAGCUCAAGUGGUAGAACACAUGCUUAGCAUGCAUGAGGUCCUGGGUUCAAUCCCCAGUAUCUCCC
rnacentral:tRNA from 1 species